rnacentral:rRNA from 1 species
UAGGAUGGCCUUAGUACGGCGAGUGAAGAGGCCAAAGCCCAAGAUGGUAAUCUCCGUGCAGCGCACGGCGAAUUGUAAUCUAGAGAGGCGAAUUUCAAGAGGAGGUGGCACAGAAGUGCCCUGGAACGGGCCGCCAAAGAGGGUGACAGCCCCGUACGUGGUGCCGCCGCCUAACGAAAUAGUCUUCAAAGAGUCGGGUUGUUUUGUAUUGCAGCCCUAAGUGGGAGAUAAACUUCUUCUAAGGCUAAAUAUAUGUGGGAAACCGAUAGCGAACAAGUACUGUGAAGGAAAGAUGAAAAGCACUUUGGAAAGAGAGUCAAAAGACCUGAAACCGUUGAGGAGGAAGCGGUAGAGAUGAAUUCUACAGGAGGAUAUGAAUGUGUGGUCAAAGCUUUGCUCUUGGACGUACGUCAAAGGCGGACUGGAAGCACAAGUGGAAACCAAGCAGUAGUAACCUUUUGUGAGGCCGGAUGAGGUGGAGUAGCUGCAGAGUGUUUGUAGAGUAGGAAGUCUCGGCGAUCGCUCUAUAAAUUACGGUAGCUGCUUCGCCUGAGAGUGCUUAGUGCGAUUCGGUCAAAAUGGUCUUUACCGACCCGUCUUGAAACACGGACCAAGGAGUCUAAGGUACGCGCGAGUGUGCUGGUGGAGAAACCAACACGCGUAAUGAAGGUGAGUGAUGCCAAGCGCAAGCAGCAGCAUCGGCCGACCAGGAGUCUCUGACAAAAGGUUUGAGUAUGAGCGCGUCCCCUAGGACCCGAAAGAUGGUGAACUAUGCCUGUGUAGGGUGAAGCCAGGGGAAACUCUGGUGGAAGCUCGUAGCGAUACUGACGUGCAAAUCGUUCGUCAAACAUGGGUAUAGGGGCGAAAGACUAAUCGAACCAUCUAGUAGCUGGUUCCCUCCGAAGUUUCCCUCAGGAUAGCUGGGACAAUUGCGCAGUUUUAUUAGGUAAAGCGAAUGAUUAGAGGAAUCGGGGGCUACGUGCUCUCGACCUAUUCUCAAACUUUAAAUUGGUAAGAACCCGGGCCUUUCUUAGCUGAGGCUCCGGGGCUCAAUGCGUGUCCUUAGUGGGCCAUUUUUGGUAAGCAGAACUGGCGAUGAGGGAUGCACCUAACGUCGAGUUAAGGCGCCUAACUGCGCGCUCAUCAGACACUAUAAAGGGUGUUGGUCCAUAUAGACAGCAGGACGGUGGCCAUGGAAGUCGGAACCCGCUAAGGAGUGUGUAACAACUCACCUGCCGAAUGGACUAGCCCCGAAAAUUGAUGGCGCUUAAGCGCGCGGCCGAUACUCGACCAUCGUCGCGAGAGUGAGGCGACGAUGAGUAGGAGGGCGUGGGCGUCGUUGCGAAGCCUCUGGCGUGAGCCUGGGUUGAACGGCGUCUAGUGCAGAUCUUGGUGGUAGUAGCAAUUAUUCAAAUGAGAACUUUGAAGGCCGAAGUGGAGAAGGUUUCCGUGAGAACAGCAAUUGGUCACGGGUGACUCGAUCCUAAGACAUGGGAUAAGUCCUUGUUAAGUGCGCGCUUGCGCGUAGUCGAAAGGGAAUGAGGUUAAUAUUCCUCAAGCUGGAUGUGGGUGUUGGAUGGCAACAUAAGUGAGUCUGGAAACGCCGGCGCGGGCCUCUGGAAGAGUUAUCUUUUCUUUUUAACAGGUCAGCGGCCCUGAAAUGGGAUUAUCCCGAGCUAGGGCGGCAAACCUGGAAGAGCUCCUCGCUUUCCGAGGAGUCAGGUGCGCCCGCGACGGUCCUGAAAAUCCAGAUGAGCAG